rnacentral:tRNA from 1 species
GGAGGAAUACCCAAGUGGCUGAAGGGGUCUGUUUCGAAAACUGAUAGGAGAUGCAAGUCUCGCGUGGGUUCAAAUCCCUCUUCCUCCGCCA